rnacentral:rRNA from 1 species
GUUAAGCGACUAAGCGUACACGGUGGAUGCCCUGGCAGUCAGAGGCGAUGAAGGACGUGCUAAUCUGCGAUAAGCGUCGGUAAGGUGAUAUGAACCGUUAUAACCGGCGAUUUCCGAAUGGGGAAACCCAGUGUGAUUCGUCACACUAUCAUUAACUGAAUCCAUAGGUUAAUGAGGCGAACCGGGGGAACUGAAACAUCUAAGUACCCCGAGGAAAAGAAAUCAACCGAGAUUCCCCCAGUAGCGGCGAGCGAACGGGGAGCAGCCCAGAGCCUGAAUCAGUGUGUGUGUUAGUGGAAGCGUCUGGAAAGGCGCGCGAUACAGGGUGACAGCCCCGUACACAAAAAUGCAC